rnacentral:lncRNA from 1 species
GGUUUUGAUUUAUACUAUAUUUUUAUUUCAUUAUUAAAUAUAUGAUUAAUAGUAAUUUGAUAACAAAGAAUGACAUGAACAAACAUUUAUAUUAAAACCAUUGAUAACUAGAAACAUCGAAAUACAAAAAAAAUAUUACAUAGAAAGAAAUUAGAAACCUAAAAUUUAAAUUAAAUUUAUAAUAUUAGUGGCGUCUAUGAUGUGAUGAAGUGCCACACGGGGUGGUCUUCUUCUUCGUGGUCGAGAGAACUCUUAAUUCUGGUUGAUGGACUUCUCUAGCUCUUCCACUAGCAACUCUUCUAAGUUGUUGCUC